GAUGAAGAACGUAGCGAAAUGCGAUACGUAAUGUGAAUUGCAGAAUUCAGUGAAUCAUCGAGUCUUUGAACGCACAUUGCGCCCCCUGGUAUUCCGGGGGGCAUGCCUGUCCGAGCGUCAUUGCUGCCCUCAAGCACGGCUUGUGUGUUGGGCCUCCGUCCUCCUCCCGGGGGACGGGCCCGAAAGGCGGCGGCGGCACCGCGUCCGGUCCUCGAGCGUAUGGGGCUUCGUCACCCGCUCUUGUAGGCCCGGCCGGCGCUUGCCGACACAUCAAUCUUUUUUCCAGGUUGACCUCGGAUCAGGUAGGGAUACCCGCUGAACUUAAGCAUAUCAAUAAGCGGAGGA
rnacentral:misc_RNA from 1 species